UACGUAGGGUGCAAGCGUUGUCCGGAAUUAUUGGGCGUAAAGAGCUCGUAGGCGGUUUGUUGCGUCGGCUGUGAAAUCCCGAGGCUCAACCUUGGGCUUGCAGUGGGUACGGGCAGACUAGAGUGCGGUAGGGGUGACUGGAAUUCCUGGUGUAGCGGUGGAAUGCGCAGAUAUCAGGAGGAACACCGGUGGCGAAGGCGGGUCUCUGGGCCGUAACUGACGCUGAGGAGCGAAAGCAUGGGGAGCGAACAGG
rnacentral:rRNA from 1 species